rnacentral:rRNA from 1 species
GACGAACGCUGGCGGCGUGCUUAACACAUGCAAGUCGAGCGGUAAGGCCCUUUCGGGGGUACACGAGCGGCGAACGGGUGAGUAACACGUGGGUGACCUGCCCUCAGCUCUGGGAUAAGCCUGGGAAACUGGGUCUAAUACUGGAUAUGACUCCACGGUGCAUGUCGUGGGGUGGAAAGCCUUGUGCGGCUGAGGAUGGGCCCGCGGCCUAUCAGCUUGUUGGUGGGGNGAUGGCCUACCAAGGCGACGACGGGUAGCCGGCCUGAGAGGGCGACCGGCCACACUGGGACUGAGACACGGCCCAGACUCCUACGGGAGGCAGCAGUGGGGAAUCUUGCGCAAUGGGCGAAAGCCUGACGCAGCGACGCCGCGUGAGGGAUGACGGCCUCGGUGUAAC